GCCGGGAUUUAAAAUACAAUCAGUAAAAGUCUUGGUUUUUAAUGAUAUUUAAACGUAAUCGUAAGCGCGCCGAUGACUUAUGGUUUAUCUAAUAAACAUCCGAUAAUAAGAAGAUAAGACAGACAGACGUGCAAUUGUACACAUUCAUGAGAUAAAUUUUCUAUGUUAAACGUAUAUAUUCGAAUUAUUUUAGUAGACAACCAAAAAAGUUAUAAAUUUAUUAAUUAAUGCAUUUUCGGACUGAUAUAUGAGGUGAACAAAUUAAAGUACAAUAAUCUGUAAAGACAAUAUGUUGGUGUACUCUUAUUGACCUUUUACUAUCUCUGCUUUGACUAGAUUUAUACGAUGUGUGUAUUCACGGUUCUGUGGCAAAUUGAAUACUCUUAGAUGGCUUGUUGAAAGGUAAAUUGUUAUUUGCACUUCGGUAUUUAACCACGCCUCUAGGGCACACCUUGCCAGGUGUGACUGUCUAUUCGGAUCAGUGGAUUAUAAAACAAGGGAGCAUUCAAUAUACACAUCUAUAAUACUAAUUCAAGUUUCAAGUUUGUUACAAAUAAAAAUAGAUCGCCGUGGAAUUAUUUAAUUAUAUUUGCUGUAUCAUUUAUUUCAAUUCAAAUAAAUUAAUUUACUAAGUAAUAAAAUUUAAACAAUUUUCGGUUAAAGACGGGAAACUUAAUUCAUGUGUCAGAAUGAAAUGAUAUACACCUCUUGUCCUUGAUGUAUGUCUCAUUAAAAAGGGGGAAUUAGAAAUAGCUUUACCAAAGCAUUUUGAUUUUCUUUAUUAGGCAAAAAAAUGUACGAGAACACUUACAUUUAG
rnacentral:lncRNA from 1 species